CCGCUUGCUCUCGUUCCUAGGGUUUGGCCUGCAGUGGACGAGCAUCGCAUAGCCUGCGGGGCUGGAUGCUGACCGCCCGGGCCAGCACCUAGGCGGACGCGGAGCUGUGCAGACCAGGGUUCGCGCGGGCCGGGUGGAGGCUCAAGCGGGGACCCCGGAGCGUGAGCCCCGGAGUCGGCGGCGCUGGGGCCAGAGGGGCCGGGAGGGAGUCGGCUGAGGUGGCGGCGGAGGCGAAGUGGCGGCGGAGGCGAAGGGGCGGCGGGACCCGGGCCUGGCCCGUAUGUGUCCUUGGCGGCCUAGACUAGGCCGUCGCUGUAUGGUGAGCCCCAGGGAGGCGGAUCUGGGCCCCCAGAAGGACACCCGCCUGGAUUUGCCCCGUAGGCCCGGCCCGGGCCCCUCGGGAGCAGAACAGCCUUGGUGAGGUGGACAGGAGGGGACCUCGCGAGCAGACGCGCGCGCCAGCGACAGCAGCCCCGCCCCGGCCUCUCGGGAGCCGGGGGGCAGAGGCUGCGGAGCCCCAGGAGGGUCUAUCAGCCACAGUCUCUGCAUGUUUCCAAGAGCAACAGGAAAUGAACACAUUGCAGGGGCCAGUGUCAUUCAAAGAUGUGGCUGUGGAUUUCACCCAGGAGGAGUGGCGGCAACUGGACCCUGAUGAGAAGAUAGCAUACGGGGAUGUGAUGUUGGAGAACUACAGCCAUCUAGUUUCUGUGGGGUAUGAUUAUCACCAAGCCAAACAUCAUCAUGGAGUGGAGGUGAAGGAAGUGGAGCAGGGAGAGGAGCCGUGGAUAAUGGAAGGUGAAUUUCCAUGUCAACAUAGUCCAGUACAGAACCUGCUAAGGCCAUCAAACCUAUUGAUCGGAAGUCAGUCCAUCAGAUUUGCUCUGGGCCAGUGGUACUGAGUCUAAGCACUGCAGUGAAGGAGUUAGUAGAAAACAGUCUGGAUGCUGGUGCCACUAAUAUUGAUCUAAAGCUUAAGGACUAUGGAGUGGAUCUCAUUGAAGUUUCAGACAAUGGAUGUGGGGUAGAAGAAGAAAACUUUGAAGGCUUAAUCUCUUUCAGCUCUGAAAC
rnacentral:lncRNA from 1 species